GACGAAGGGGGCUAGCGUUGUUCGGAAUUACUGGGCGUAAAGCGCGUGUAGGCGGUUGUCCAAGUUGGAUGUGAAAGCCUUGAGCUCAACUCAAGAAAUGCAUUCAGGACUGGGCGACUAGAGGACCGGAGAGGAUAGUGGAAUUCCCAGUGUAGUGGUGAAAUACGUAGAGAUUGGGAAGAACACCAGUGGCGAAGGCGGCUCUCUGGGCAGAUACUGACACUGAGACGCGAAAGCGUGGGUAGCAAACAGG
rnacentral:rRNA from 1 species